rnacentral:lncRNA from 1 species
AAGGAUUUUCAAGAUACUGCAGCACCUUCAAUACUAAAGACAUAACCACUCAUGAAUUUAGAAUGUUUAGAGUCUAAGAUCCAAUUGCCAUCACAAUAUCCAUCAGGUACUGUAGAAUAUCCAAAAUAAAAUAAUUCAUGAUUUUGUGUAUAUCUAAGAUAUCUUAAAACUCGAAUUAUUGCUUUUCAAUAAUUUUCUCCAUGAUUACUAGUAAAUCUACUCAAUUUAUUAAUUACAUAAACAAUAUCUAAUAUUGUACAAUUCAUUAAGUACAUUAGACUGCCUAUAAUUCUUGAGUAUAACAAUUGAGAUACUGUUUCUCUAGUAUUCUUUGUUAGAUGUAAAUUUAUAUCUAUCGGAAAUGUUAUUUUUUCAUCCCUAUUCUUGUUAAAUUUCUCUAAAUUUUAUCACAUAAUGUGAUUGUGAUAGAAUUCCCUUUAGGUGUUCUUUUGAUUUUCAUUCUCAGAAUUACGAGUCUGCUAUAAUACCAGGUCUUUCAUGUCAAUUUUGAUAGCAUUAGAAUAUUUUUCUAGAUGGUGAUCAUGUAAUUAUUACUUUCAUUCAAUAAGUAACAUUCAGUUACAUAUAAACAAACGAUAAAAAUAUAAUCUAUUUUAGUAUGUUUGAUAUAAAUACACAUUUGUCACGUUCAUUAAUUUUAAAUCAUUUGAAAUCAUGACAUUGUCAAAUUUUUUAUAAGAAUUUUACAAGUUUUACACCCCUUAUUCUUAUUUCUAAUGAGUUUUAAAAACUCUCGGGGUUUGCUCCAUGUAAAAUUUCUUCUACUAAUUCCCAUUAGGAAUGUUGUCUUUACAUCCAUUUUAUGAAUUUAUGAUUUGUUUUAUAGCAACAAUGCUAUUAACAAUCAAUAGAUUUAAUUCUCUUAACAAGAGAGUAUGUAUCAAAUAAUCGGAUUCCUCCUUUUGUCCUAUAGUCAGCUUUUACUACAAGUCCAUUUGCUUGUCAUUUUAUUUAUAAACCCUCCAUCUUUUCACUUCAUUUGAAAAUUCACUUAUAUCCAAGUGGUUUAUUUCCAAGAGAAAGAUCCACCAAUUCCCAAAUGUGAUUUUGGGGAACUAAUUAUAUUUCACUAUUAAUCGGGUUUUUUCAUUGAGAUGCUUCUGAACAAAACAUUGCUUCACUAAAGCUUUGUGGUUCACUUUGUAUAUGAUAUGUUAUAAAAUCUAAACCAAAAGAUUUAAUAAUUUUUGCUCUUUUACUUUGUUUAUUAUUUCUCUUUAGGUGAUGUAUUUGAUUCAUCUAUCUUCUCAUGAGAUCUUUUUAAAAACCUUAUUCUCGUACGUCUUUGUAAGGGAAUACAAAUCCUCAAAAAAAUAAUCCUAUCUUAACUCUAUGAUAGUAAUUCUUAUGUAUAUCCAAAAUUUUAGACUUUUUGUACUAGAAAUCUAUAUGCAAUCACUACUAUUUUGUGCAUCUUCUCCAAUAAAUAAUAUUAAUCCACCAUUUUAGGAUCAAUCCUACUUUAUUGAGUAGAUGAUAAUUAACAUUAAGCACGACACUCUCAGACUUUGAAGAUUUAAGGAAUGCUCUCUUUCUUUUUAUAAUUCAUAGGAUUCUUAAUCUAAUUUCUUAUGUGACAAUCUAUUUAAAAUAUGAUUUGCGGUUAGAACCGCUUUCCCCACAGUUCUUGGAAGUCUAAACUCAAUAAGCAUUCACAAUCAUCAUUUUUUUUAAAAUUUUAUUUUUCCUUUUCGACAAUUCCAUUUGAUUUAGGAGAAUAGGGUGAUGUCGUUUGGUAUAUAUACUAUUUUUUUGGCAGCAUAAUUCUUAAAUGGUGACUCAUAUUCAUCACCACCCUUAUCACUUUCUUAGAAACUUUUUAAUAUUUUUUCUUAAUUGAUUUUUCACUUUCACUUCGCUUUUGAAAUCUUCAUUUUAAAAAAUAGUCUCAUCUUUACUUCCUCAUUCAGUAAAGAUAAGAAAAGUUAGGUACAAUCAUCGAUGAAAGGUUAUAAAUAUUUUUUACCGCUCUUAUUUGUACUAAUUUUAAAAUAAAUCACACUCUGUGUGAAUUAACUCCAAAGGUUUGUUGACCUUAUAUAAGAAGGAAAGAAGUUUUUACUUAAUUCCAGCCUUCUACAAAUAUUUGACAUUUAAUAUUAUUAUCCAAAUUUAGUUUUUGUAAUAAUUUAAUUGAAACAAGUUUUCACAAUAAUUCAAUAUUACAUGUCCCAAUCUAUAUAACCAAAUAUUCAACUCACAAAUGUAAAUAGAAAAAUCAAAAUUUUUAUUCAUAUCAUUUGGUACAACUAUGAGUACAUUCACUUUAAAUAAAUCAUUAGAAAAAUAUUCCUUUCCAAUGUACACACCGUUCAUUAUAAGAACAAACUUGUCAGACUCAAAUACAAGUUUGAAGCCAUUCAUGCUCAAUAACCACCCAGAAAUCAAAUUCUUUCGAAUGUUAGGUACAUGGAAUGCAUUGUUUAGAAUCAGUUCUUUACCUUAAGUCAUCUUCAGAAUAAUCUUUUCAUGGCCUUCA